GACGAACGCUGGCGACGCGCUUAACACAUGCGAGUCGAACGGAAAGGCCUGCUUUCCCUUGUGGAUUGCGGGUACUCGAGUGGCGAACGGGUGAGUAACACGUGAGUGAUCUGCCCCCAACUUGGGUAUAAGCCUGGGAAACUGGGUCUAAUUCCCGAUAGGACUGCAGGGUGGUGCCUGUGGUGGAAAACGAUUUUCUAGUGGUUGGGGAUGAGCUCGCGGCCUAUCAGCUUGUUGGUGGGGUAAUGGCCUACCAAGGCGGCGACGGGUAGCCGGCCUGAGAGGGUGGACGGGCACAUUGGGACUGAGAUACGGCCCCGACUCCUACGGGAGGCAGCAGUGGGGAAUAUUGCACAAUGGGCGGAAGCCUGAUGCAGCGACGCCGCGUGGGGGAUGACGGCCUUCGGGUUGUAAACUCCUUUCGACCGCGAGGAAGCCACCUGGUUGGAAGGGUGGUGACGGUAGUGGUAGAAGAAGCACCGGCUAACUACGUG
rnacentral:rRNA from 1 species